ACUCCUACGGGAGGCAGCAGUGGGGAAUUUUGGACAAUGGGGGAAACCCUGAUCCAGCCAUCCCGCGUGUGCGAUGAAGGCCUUCGGGUUGUAAAGCACUUUUGGCAGGAAAGAAACGUCAUGGGUUAAUACCCCGUGAAACUGACGGUACCUGCAGAAUAAGCACCGGCUAACUACGUGCCAGCAGCCGCGGUAAUACA
rnacentral:rRNA from 1 species